GUUAGGCCUCAAAAGCAAAGUAAAGUUCAGCAAAGUUCAGCUACAGUCAGGAUUGUGAGCUAUUUCCCUGGCUUCAACAUAGAACCAGCAAACAAACAUGUGGUGUAAACAAGAACCUUAACUAUCUGUUACUGGUUACUGCUAAACCUGUUAUCUUAAAGAGACACCAAGAGGUUUAACUGCACAUGAGCUAUCAGUCCAGCUGUGAAGUUCCUCUUCAAAGGUGCACUGAAACCUGAAAGCUGAGGUCUUACCGUUCUCACCUUUUGACCAAACUUUGUCACCUCAGACACCAGGGACUGCUGCACUUUUCAGCAAGGUAUGUGUAUGGGUCUGUGUAUGGGUGUGUCUGGUAGGACAAGCCUCGUUGGAGGAGCUACUUAGGAGUGUGGUGCAACUCUCUCCGACGCUGGAUCGUUUCGUGAGACUUCCGAGAAUUGCGGGACGAGAGGGCAGCAAAGACGGACCACACUAACACUAAGCAGUGGAGACACAGAGCACUGACACUGGAUGAGGAUACGGAACGGGAGUCUGGGACACUAGGGGAUUUAUUGUUGCUUACUUCACCAC
ensembl:lncRNA